UGCUGAAUUUUUGUGCUUAAUUUACAUGUGCAUACCAAAGUGAUACCGUGCAUGAUUUAAUUAAAAAUUACGGUGUGUGAAGCAUUGGAUCAGUAGGGAAACCCAAAAUUAUUAUCUUAGCGGACUCAGCGCCACCAUGCGGCAUGUCACGCGCAUAGCUACAGGGGGAUAUAGGCGUUAGCGGUCUUCCACUUCGUUGUCUAUGCUACCACCUUGUAAAUGUAUAAUAGGACAAUCCUUUUAGCCUAACGCGGAAGUAACCCGCUGCCAAUAGCAAAUCGCAAAUGUCCUGCAAUUUUGCUCUUUGUUCUUCAUCGUCCUUUACUUCAAAGAGCUCCUGAAAAAAAUCAACUCGGCAAUUUUAGUAAAGAAUCUCAAUCCUUUUUUGAAAAUCGAAACGUUACCCGCUUGUCCAUUAUACAAAACAGAGAAAUGUGACAGGCUGACACUAUUGCAAACUAUUGCAAGAUCGGUCGUGAUAUUUUCAUGACUUGUUUUUGUUUUUGGGUUCAAAAUUGAAACUAUAGAUGGCCAAUUAUGCAAAUGCUGCCGCAAAGCGGCGCACAUGUCUAUUGCAGACGAAAACUACAUACAAUUGUGCUGCGAUCGUUAGCAUUAAGCGCGGCAAAACAGCUGUGAAAAACAGCUGUUAGUUAGCCGUUUUUUUGAAAUAUUUCAGUUACCUGCUGUCUGAAGCUAGCAUGUUUGACAUUUUGUUACAUAUUAUUGAAGUUAAUUGUAAACUUGCAGAGUUGAAAACUGAUUUGAAAAGUUGGAAGAUCUUUGUUUAUAAUUACCAAUAAUGAUGGUGCAGAUCAUGAUUCUUGAACAAUGCUAAGUUAUCUUAUGAUUCUUUCAAAUACAGGGAUUAUAUUGAACAUUACAAUUUGCCUGCUGUGCUUGAGUUAACUUCAUCCCCAUGUCAUUGACCAGUGGCCCAGUCAUGUUAAGGGCAACUGUCAUGCAGCUUUGUCCUUUGCUGCUCUAUACUUUUCAAAGCUCUUCACUCUGUCUACUGACCAAGAUAUCAGAAGAAUUGAUCAACUCUGUAACUCCCUCACAGGUUGAUUAGGAGGGGAAACGUGGACAUAAUCAAAAAAUAUAUUUGGUUCAAUUCUGGCGUUAGAUGGCCAAGGAAGGAAAAGGCGGGAAAAAAAAAUGUGAUGUAAAACCGGUUGCCAACUUGCCAUAUUGCCAUAUCUUUCUUUUAAGAAGCAACGAAAAUGACGAAAAUGUACAUGCGACAAGUGUCAUCGUGUGGUGGAAAAAUAAAGCUUGAUGCCUUGUCGCGCAUUGAAGAGAACUUAUAUAAAGCCCUGCACCGAAUGAAUCAUUUUUCUUUGGUGCUGACUGUCGUCGUUCGUGGACGUAAGUUUUCACGUAGUCGAAUUUUAAGUUUUUUUAAGUCUUUUUGUUACUGUACCAGAAUGUCGUCAAAAUUCGUAGGAUGAGUUUAGAUAAUCCCUGUUUGCAGUUCGACAGAGCAUGGUGGUGGCAGUGUUGGCUUAAGAGGUCAAAACUAACGUAAAUUUUCAUAUUUUGCUGGGCAUAUACACAAAAUCAAUCGUAUUUGGGUUGUUGAAAUAUUAACUUGACUAGAGAUUUUUUGAACGUGUGGUCAUGGUAAUGGUGCUAGGGUCUGCCGUAUUUGAGACAGCUGUUGGAAAGUAGGAUGAUGUAUUAAAUGGUGUUUCAACUGAGCUUUUGCUGCUUACAAGUCUGUUUUUCUGUCCAUGAGGCUGCAUUGUCUAAUGGAUGUUGUGGCUUUACUCCCUAAUGCCAAAGCAGUAGUAUGUGCUUCCAUGUCUGUACUUCAUGGUUUAGGCAUGAUGAAAUUCAAAUAUGAAUAUGAGAACAUGUUGGACCACUAUUUGUUAAUGCAGCAGCUUUGAUGACAUGCUUCUAUAUAGUGGAAGUAUCAUUAAGCAUUUGUAAAUUUUUUUUUGUGUAUGAUUACUCAAAACUACUUAAAGAAAGAGUUGGCAGGUAUCCUUAGAAUAGGUAAAGCUUUUCUUUGUUGCUCUCUUGUGAUCUGGUGAAGAGUUAGCUUCUUGUUACUUCAAUGACCAUUGUGCUUGAUUGCAUUAGUCUGCUACUGUUGGUUGACUCAUUGCAGGUAUAAUGUUGUAUUUGUAUCUUGCACUUCUUUUACAUGUUUGUGAUUUGUUUCUGAGAGGAAUUGAUUUUCUAUCACCAUUUUAGGUGACUGCAUCAGCAAAGUGUUCAUUUUAGAGGGCACUUGCACGCUUAUUUGUGCAUGCAUUUGGACGAAGUGCAUGGCUCUGGCUUGUCCUGAUCAUGGAUUCUCCUCCUGACCUUAUUGUUACAUCCUCUGGUAUUACUUUGCAUCGUUUCCUCAUGCUGGCAUGGUACAAAUGUGAGGCAGGAUGGUCACAUGACUUGGCAUAUUGACAGAACAUGAAGUUGGAUUGCCCUCUUGCCAGUGUUGUAUACAGUGGUGGUUGCUCUAUGUUUGUACAUUUGUGGGAUUUUCUAUCCGCCGGUGGUGCUGUUUAGACGAUCGCAGGAUGCACGAAGCAACAGAUUAAUUUUACAUGUUUUUGUGGAAUUAGGUCUGCGUACGCCGAAGCCGAAAGGGACGUGACAUAUGAUGAAAAUUUAUGCCAAUUGAAGUUGAACUGCGCCUGAAAAUAUCCUUAAUUUUCUUAGAGUAGAUUUAGCAGUGUAUGUUGCAUUUUCUGUACCCCGUUUUACUUGUCUUGUGAUAAGGUCAUAGUGUGGUAGAUUGUUCUGCGGUGAUUUACAUGGACAUGGAAUUUACUCCAUUUGCAAUAUUAUCAGCGGGAUAAAAGGGUUUUCACAUAUGCUAAUUUAUGUCAAUCUUUACCUGGAAUAUGUUCUCCAAAAUUGUCUUGUUACUCUUCCGCUUCUAUUUGCUAUAAUGCUUUUUCUUGGUGAACUGUUAAUAACUUGUUGUAAAUGUAAAUAGUAUUGAUAAUAAACGAUAUAAAAUAAAA